rnacentral:rRNA from 1 species
UACGAAGGGGCUAGCGUUGCUCGGAAUCACUGGGCGUAAAGCGCACGUAGGCGGAUUGUUAAGUCAGGGGUGAAAUCCUGGAGCUCAACUCCAGAACUGCCUUUGAUACUGGCGAUCUCGAGUCCGGGAGAGGUGAGUGGAACUGCGAGUGUAGAGGUGAAAUGCGCAGAUAUUAGGAAGAACACCGGUGGCGAAGGCCGGCCU